rnacentral:rRNA from 1 species
GAUGAACGCUGGCGGCGUGCCUAAUACAUGCAAGUCGAGCGAACAGACGAGGAGCUUGCUCCUCUGACGUUAGCGGCGGACGGGUGAGUAACACGUGGAUAACCUACCUAUAAGACUGGGAUAACUUCGGGAAACCGGAGCUAAUACCGGAUAAUAUAUUGAACCGCAUGGUUCAAUAGUGAAAGACGGUUUUGCUGUCACUUAUAGAUAGAUCCGCGCCGCAUUAGCUAGUUGGUAAGGUAACGGCUUACCAAGGCAACGAUGCGUAGCCGACCUGAGAGGGUGAUCUGCCACACUGGAACUGAGACACGGUCCAGACUCCUACGGGAGGCAGCAGUAGGGAAUCUUCCGCAAUGGGCGAAAGCCUGACAGAGCAACGCCGCGUGAGUGAUGAAGGUCUUCGGAUCGUAAAACUCUGUUAUUAGGGAAGAACAAAUGUGUAAGUAACUAUGCACGUCUUGACGGUACCUAAUCAGAAAGCCACGGCUAACUACGUG